rnacentral:lncRNA from 1 species
ACUGCAGCCUUGAACUCCCGGGCUCAAGCAUUCCUUGGCCUCAGCCUUUGGAGAGUAGCUAGGACUACAGGCGCAGCCACCACACCCAGCUAAUUUUUUAUUUUAAUUUUUUUUGUGGCGAUGGAGUCUUGUUAUGUUGCCCAGGCUGGUCUUGAACUCCUGACCUUAGGGGAGCUUCCUGCCUCAGCCUCCCCAAGUGCUGGGAUGUGUGAGCCACUGCCUCUGGCACCUAUUUAUUAUUUUGGUAUUUCAUGUUACUCCUAAGCUUGAAAAAGCUCUUUUUUCUAUAUACAGAAUUCGUAGAAUUUUUGAAAUACUUAGUUUUCUUUUCAGCUUUUUCCAUGCAUUCAAGAUUUCAUGGUUAACUCUAGUCAGACUGGAAUGGCUUUGUUAUGCCCUGGCCCACUUGCUGUGGAAUUCCCAGAAGUGCCUCUGCUGUGCUGACAUAAAAUAACCUGAAAAGAUUCUGAAAAGCCAGGAUGUGGAAUUGAAAGAGAAGCUGCUGCAUGAGCAGAGACCAAGAAGGUGGAAGUUAGUUGAGGGAGAGCAGUGGCUCUUUGUUCUAAUUGAAGGAUAGGCACACAUUCAUUCUGGUCUUGGGGCCAGGUCAAAAGGAACACUGCUUCAGAGUAUCUUUACCUAACCCAGAAACAUCCAAGGAAGCCAAACCAUUCAAAGUAAAGUGCUUUUGUUUGGUGAGGGGCCCCUGUAGACAUCAAAGAGCUGCCAUGUAUCAUUGGUUUGAGAUGAAAUAGCAAUACAAUUAAUAAUAGAAUGAUGCCUGGUGCUAUCUGACUUCCCAUUCUGUGAUCUAAAGGUGAAAUUGAUUCAUUCUCUCUCCUCUCCCUUCUGGCUAGCCGUUAGUGGAGAAUGAACUGGCCAUAUUCCUCUGAGCCACAGCAGUAAAGCAAGUUAAGUUUCCCAAGGGGAAGAAGCCCUGAUAUCUAUAAUUUGAACUGUACUGGACCCAUAGUUUUAACUGAAAAGGGCCAAACAAGUGGUGUCUGUCCAUUUCCUGGACUGGGCUAAAUUUAGUUUUCCCACUGUUGAGCUGGAAUGAGGACUGUCCAAGAACAGUAGGUACAGUGGACAAAAAUAGCCCAGGGUGACUGACUAAAUUUAAACCCAUAAUGGCUUUAUAUUUUUCUGUGCAUAUAUAUCUUACCCUAAUUGAACAUGUGAAGCUUACAACUUUUAUGUCUUGCCUUGGACAUGAAUGUAUUGCAGCUUACAGUUCUUCUGUUUUAUGUAUAGUUUCCCAGUUUAUUGACACUAAUGCUGUUUGGGUCUUACUUGAUACAUACCAGUGUGCAAGAAAUGUCUCCCUAAUUCAGUAAGUGUUAAGACUUAAUGUCCUUCAUCUGAUCUGUCCUAUCUAAUCUGUACUGUGGGUGAACCUUUUUCGCUUCCUCUCCCCAGGGACUGUUUCACAGUAUUCUGGAGUACUUUUUGAGUAUUGGUUCCUGAACAUCAGCAGCCUUCGGUGCCUCUGUGGACUCCUGGAGUUGUCUCCUUGGUUGUGUUCUGGUGCCAUCCUUUGUACCUCCACCCCCGACUAAGGUGCCCAGCAACCUGUCUUCACCAGUCAUGGAAUCUGCCAUCUUGGCUAUAGACAUAGGUCUGGAGAAGUCUUUCCCUUUUUCCUUGAUUUCUUUUUAAAGGUAUAUUAUCUCUCCCCACUCCUUUUUUCCCUCCUCAAUCUAGUUAAAUUUCCUAAGCUUUCACAAAAGUCUGCGAAGAGAUAAUUAAGAGCUUAGCAUCCCUCUUAGAACUAGAAGGCAGUACAGAUAACAAAUAAGUUGUGAGUAUAUUAUCUAUAUUUUGCAACAUUUUCUGACUGUAGCUCCCAUUGUAUUUAUUUGUCUGACACUCACUUGAUUGAUUUGCACCUUGAACACUUUACUAGGUCUUUUCAGUUACUUUGCUUGGGUUAAGACACUUUGCUAAAAUUUCAGCCUGAAUCCUUUCUUUAGUUGACGAAAGGGUAUGUGUGUGCAAGUGGGUGUGUUUGUGCCAGUUUUUCUUGUCUCAGGUAGAUACUCCUACUGUGUAUAAAUAGAUCUACAGACUUUUCAUACUUACCUCCCGUAUUCUGUUUCUGUGGUAAAAAUAUGAAAUAUUUUAGUUGUAUGUUGAGUGAUUGGUUGGUAUUAUCAACACUGUUGUUUGCUGUUUCAUUAAAGCAUGCUCUUAAGGAGUACAUAUGGUCAUUAAUUGCCAACUAUAGAUUCCAGUGAUCUGGCCCCUGCCUACCUCCUUACUCUCUUUCAUUCUAUGUCAUGCUUCUCCACUCUUUUCCCCAAUGAUGCACUAUUUUGACACACUGGCCUUGCUAUUCCUUAAGCAAAUCACAUUCUUCCCAAUCCAAAGACUUUGCACAUGCUAUUGUCUUUCUUAGAAUGCCCUUCCCCUAGGCCUGCAUGGCUUGCUACCUCACUUAAUUGUUUGACACUUCCUUUGGUUCAUUGAGCUUCAAGGCUCUUAAAAUGCCACUGACAAUGAGAUCUCCCUGUAAAAAAAAAAAAAAA